CUCAGGUGGGACGUGGUGGUGAUGAUGGUAUCGGUGAAGGAGGCGGUGGUGGCGGUAAAAUCAAGGCGACUCAUGUGGUGGCUAAGGAUGGAAGUGGAAACUUUAAGACAAUUUCCGAAGCAGUUAACGCUUGCCCGGAGAAAAACCCUGGACGUUGCAUUAUCCAUAUCAAGGCUGGUGUCUACAAGGAAAUGGUCAGAAUCCCUAAGAAGAAGAACAACAUUUUCAUGUUUGGUGAUGGUGCUACAAAAACCAUCAUUACUUUUGACAAAAGUGUUGCACUUAGCAAAACCACUACUUCACUCAGUGCCACCGUUCGUAAGUCUCUCAUUUAAACUAUAACAUCUAUUAUUGAUCUAACUAUAUUCAAAACCAAGCUUGAGAUUUUGGUUGAAAAUGUUUUCAUUUGGUUAUGCCAGCUAGAACCGAUAUUACUAUAUAUUGCAUUGCUAAAUAAUGUUGAUAUCUAAUUAUACUUAUUUGCAUGCAUGCAGAGGUUGAAUCUGAGGGAUUCAUGGCGAAAUGGAUCGGAUUCCAGAACACUGCUGGUCCAUUAGGACACCAAGCGGUUGCAUUCCGUGUGAACGGAGACCGUGCAGUCAUAUUCAACUGUAGAUUUGACGCUUUCCAAGACACACUCUACGUCAACAACGGACGUCAGUUCUACAGGAACAUUGUUGUGUCCGGUACAGUCGAUUUCAUCUUCGGAAAGUCCGCGACCGUGAUCCAAAACUCUCUAAUCCUCAUCCGAAAGGGUAGCCAGGGACAGGCCCAUUACGUUACAGCCGACGGUAACGAGAAAGGUGCAGCAGUCAAGAUCGGUAUCGUUCUUCAGAACUGCCGUAUCAUGGCGGACAAAGACCUCGAAGCUGAAAAGCUAACCACCAAAUCGUACCUAGGACGGCCGUGGAAGAAAUUUUCCACCACCGUAAUUAUUGGAACUGAGAUUAGUGAUGUGAUUAAGCCAGAAGGAUGGUCCGAAUGGAAAGGAGAAGCUAACCACAAAACCGCUAAAUACAUUGAGUUCAAUAACCGUGGACCAGGAGCUAACACUGCUGCUAGGGUUCCUUGGGCCAAGAUCGCUAAGUCUGCGGCUGAGGUUGAAGGUUUCACCGUCGCUAAAUGGUUGACUCCGGUUAACUGGAUUCAAGAAGCCA
rnacentral:lncRNA from 1 species